rnacentral:rRNA from 1 species
AUGGCUCAUUACAUCAGCUAUAACUUUCUUUGAUCAUAACUCCUAAAUGGAAUAACCGAGGAAAAGCCUGGGCUAAUACAUGCGACAAUUCCGGUAGCAAUAUCGGAAUGCUUUUAUUAGAUCAAAACCUUCUAGUUCUUUCAUCGGAACUGUUUGUUGGUGACUCUAAAUAACUUUGUGUUGAUCGUAUGACCUUUGUGUCGACGACAUAUCUUUCAAGUGUCUGACUUAUCAACUUUAGACGGUACAUUAUAUGUCUACCGUGGUUGUAACGAGUACAGAGAAUCAGGGUUUGGUUCUGGAGAGGCCGCCUGAGAAACGGCGACCACUUCCAAGGAAGGCAGCAGGCGCGCAAAUUACCCACUCUCAAAACGAGGAGGUAGUGAAGAGAAAUAACGAUGUUAGUCUUUUUUAGGCUGACAAUCGGAAUGGAAAAACUCUAUAAAGGUUAUUGAUUAACAAUUGGAGGGCAAGUCUGGUGCCAGCAGCCGCGGUAAUUCCAGCUCCAAUAAGGAAAACUAAAGUUGCUGUGUUUAAAAAGCUCGUAGUUGAAUUUCGGGUAUUUGUUGCUAGUUGGUCUUCUGGGCCAUAUUGGUUAACAGAUCCUCACUUGCUGGACGGCUGGCGAUGAUCUUUAUCGGUUGUCGUCAGUUGCCAGAACGUUUACUUUGAGAAAAUUAGAGUGCUAAAAGCAGGCUCACGCCUAUAUAUAUUGCAUGGAAUAAUGAAAUAAGAUCUCGAUUUUAUUUCGUUGGUUUUAGAAAUUGAGAUAAUGAUUAAUAGGAUCAGAGGGGGGGCGUAC